CACUUUUGAAAAAUUAGUUACUAGUAUUAGGUUAUUAGAAAACCUAAUAUUUGAGAGAAGAUGAGAAGAGAAUUACUAAUAUUGUCCUUUUUUAUUCUCUCUGUGGUUGUUCAUUCUGCAUGUGAAACCACUUCCAACCCUAAAACCGGAGAUUAUACGCCUCUGAAGAAGCAGCAUGAUUACCUUAAGCUUAAGGAUGUAUAUGAUACGAUGAACAAAUCAAGCACAAAAGGCCAUCAAAGAAUGCAUGAAGUUCAGCAUCUAAGGAUUUCCCAGAAACUGAAGGCAAAGCCAACCUCCGGUGGCGCCUCCGACCUUAGUCGCACCCGUCCCAGCAAGGGUGUAGCAAGCUCUGUACUAGCUAAACCCCCCAAUUCUUCCUCUUCGCAGUGUUCAGGCAUGUUGCUGUUGGACUGAUCAUCUUUGCUCUGUAUUAAUCGCUUGAGGUAAUUUUGCACACGUUAUUUAGGACGCGAUGGAUGUGGAAGUUUUGCGAUGAAACUUUCGCUGUUAAACCCGUGUUUAAACCCGUUUCUCAAACCUGAUUCUUAUGUAAUUGUAAAUUAGAAUAUCUACUUAUUGCAUUAUUUGACAUUUCUUCCCAUCUUCCCCUGUUCUUUGCCAAAGCAUAUGCUGUUGGGUUACUGUCAUGCCACGCAAAACACUAUGGUCGACGAGGUGUAAACAAUAUAAGCAUGGCGAUGUCUAAACAAAAGCAGAAACAUGA